rnacentral:rRNA from 1 species
GUGCCAGCAGCCGCGGUAAUACGGAGGGGGCUAGCGUUGUUCGGAAUUACUGGGCGUAAAGCGCGCGUAGGCGGAGAUCCAAGUCGGGGGUGAAAUCCCGGGGCUCAACCCCGGAACUGCCUCCGAUACUGGGUCUCUGGAGGACGGGAGAGGCGAGUGGAAUGCCGAGUGUAGAGGUGAAAUUCGUAGAUAUUCGGCGGAACACCCGUGGCGAAGGCGGCUCGCUGGUCCGUUUCUGACGCUGAGGCGCGAAAGCGUGGGGAGCAAACAGGAUUAGAUACCCUGGUAGUCCACGCCGUAAACGAUGAGUGCCAGACGUCGGGGGGCAUGCCCUUCGGUGUCGCAGCUAACGCAGUAAGCACUCCGCCUGGGGAGUACGGCCGCAAGGUUAAA